CAGAAUUCUCAUCCAGCAGGGCCAUUGACUAGGAAUUCUGGGUGUUGUAGUCCAAAUAUGUCUGAAAGACAAAGGUGGGGAAGGCUGGUCUAGUGCGUGAAUGGCCUACACAUUUGGAAUUAGGUAACAUCAGGGAGGGAGUGUUCAGGCCCCUUCUUUUCGGGGCUUCAGGGAUGCUCUGGAGACUAACAUGCCUAUUUCCAUUGGCUUUCUCCAGAUCUGUGAGCUGGAGGUUUUACUGGUGUAAAUAGUUUUUGCUAUUUUUAUAGUUUGUUUAGUGUAUGGCUUGUUAUACAUGGAUUUAUGAUGUAUAUUAGCAUUUAAACUAAGUUAAAACACAAUUAAAAUAUAAAUGUUUAAAAGAUCUCUAUUCAAACAUCAAACAUUUUAAUAGUAUUUUAUAUCCAUUAUUAUUUGUAUAGUUUUUAUCCUAUACACUGGGUUGAGAGUGUUUUACCCUUUAAAGGCAGUCUAAAAUAAUUCUAAAUAAAUAGAUAAGAGCAACAGAAGAACCAGGCCAAUUACUGAACCCAACUGAAUGUGUUUAUUCACAAGAUAAGUAGACACACAAUUAGAAAUGGUCAGCUGUUGUUCUAAUAAAAUGAUUUGCAGAAUAACUAAGCAAACUUAAGUUGAUUUAUCAAGAAUCUACAUUCCAGGAAUAGCUUGCCAAAGUAGCCUGAAGGUAUUUGUGGGGAAGACACCUGGAUUCCUGGAGUCAGAGAGGCAAAACAGUCCUCCGCAGCAGUUUCGAAGAUAAAACAAGAUUUCACAAUCAAAUGUAUUUCCAUGUUGAGUCAGAGCUCCCCUAGAGUGAUUGGAAAUUCGUACAGACCAAUAAAUAGCCUGAGAUGAGCUGAUCAUGACCAGGUGACUCCCUUGAUUUUGGGGUUUUCAGAGCAAAAAAGGGUCACCUCAGAGAUAUCGUAAUGAAGAUUUUGGUACUUAUGGAUUCAUGUUUGACAAAUCUAGGAUCCUUUUUGGUUAGUGAUGUGUUGUAAAAGGGAUGGUGGGAAUUGAAGGUGGGUGGCAAAGACUGGAUUUGACUCAGCAGUACAAGUUUUUUAAAAGAUGGAAUGUAUGAAGUAGUUCUCAGUUGUGCUGCUGGCUCUUUAAUCCCUUGAAAAGUUUCAGCCUCAAGUAAUGGACAGUGCAAGCUGGGUUCUAGGGCAAAAUGCCACCAGUGUCAGUGCAUGGUAUUAUAUGUACAUCACACCAACAGGAAAAGAUCUACACUGGUUGCCACUUGUUUCAUGACUCAGUUAAAGACGUGUUGUUUGUUUAAGUGAACAUCUAAAUAGCUUAAGGCCUGGCUGUCUGAGGAACCUGCUUGGUUAUUAGAUCAGUGAGAGAACCUUUCCAAAUUCAUACAUGUUUAUAGAGGCCCACUUGUUGGAUUCCUGGGAAAGGGUUUUGCCGUCUGUCACUUCCAAACUCUGGCAAGUACCCGCUUUGGGACUGUGACUGGUUCCUACCUUUUCAGCAUUCAGAAAGUAGGUCAAGACACAUAUUUUAACUUUUAAAAUAGCUUUUGUGUUUCUUAAUGUUGCUUUUAUUGGCCUUGUUCUCACAAAGAGGCUGUGGCCUCUUAUGUGAGAAUGGUUUGGUAUAUGCAAAUUUCAUUUUUAAUAUGCAGUUUCCAGUCAUCUGAACAGAUAGGGUCUGGGCAGCUUAAACAAUCCAAAGUUAACAUAACAAUUAGGGUGACUUUGGAUUGUUUAAUCCACAGUAUCUGAAUUUGAACAGAGGACAGCUUCUGAUUGGGUUGAUUAGAGGCUGCAUAUUCAAAAUGCAGGUGUUAUGCAACCUCAGUAAAUUAUUGGUUAAUUAAUAAGCUUGCUGUCAUGAUGUGUGAAAAAGGUUGUCAUCUUACUACUGUUUUUUUUAAUGAUACCCUUCCCAGGUGGCUUUCAGAAAAGCAGUACAGAAGCAUUAACAUCCAUAAUUAAACCAGUCUGCCCUCCUCUGUGUGGAUCCCUUCUCAAUACUACCGUCAUCUGCUGAGUUACCCUCUUACUCUGGCCCAGAAGAUUGGAGAAACACAAGGAAAUUAGCCACCUUAUUAGCCGAGAAGUAAAAAGCCUUAAGUUUGCCCCCUUCAACCUGGCAGUCUCCCAAUGUGUUAGGCUGCAACUCCCAAAAUGGCCAUGCCGGCUUGGAAUGAUGGAAACUGCAGUCCCACAUACCAGGAAGGGGCAGGUUGAAGAAGUCUGCACUGUUUGUUAUACAGGAGAAACCUCAGAGACAUUGCACAGCUUGCUCACUGCCAUCCGGAGCCACUUCCAUUAGAGAGGCUGAAGCCACACAGUGAAUACCACCCUGGAACCACAUGGGCAGCUGCAUGGGGGACAUGGUUGGCUGCUCAGCCACACUAUAGAAAACUCAUUCUCUGAGUCUAAGUUCUAAGAAAAAUAUCUCCAAAGGGGCUACCCUCCCUUGGAGUCCAAUGAAAAUUGAGCAUCCUUAUUAGGCAUACACUGCAGACUUACUGUUGGAGACAGAGUUAUACAAAACAGGGGCAGAUAGCCUUGUGGUGAGAACAGAAAGGAGUAUCCUGGGAAAGGACACGCAAAGAGCACUCCGCACUGCAAGAUUUUGUGGCGAAUUCCAACUUGUUCAAUUCAUCAUUAUGUGGACCUGUCAUUUCAGCUGCGAACAUGGAGGAAGCCAAGCUCACCCCGCACCUGAGGGAUGGCUACGAACACUUAAAGAAUAGCUCUGGCUUCACCCUUUGCCUCUUUUCCUUUCUUAUUUUCCAUCCCUAAAGGAGAGAUGGGGAUUUUGCAUAUUUUCCCUCAUUGGGUGUUGCUAAUCUGUACAAGCCAAAUGGCUUUCAUGGAGGGCAGGAGGAAGGGGAAAGCAACAUACAGACUUUGAGUAUCUUUGCCAAGUGUCCAUGUUAUCGGGCACAUUCCUUAUUGCAAUUGUAUUCCUCAUCCCAUAUUUCAUCUCACAUUCACAGAACACAAUUAUUACCUCUACUUUGGAUAACUACUGACUAAUAGAAUUACAUCACUGUUUUGUUUUUUUUAAUCUAAGUUCACAAUGGUGCAGGAGUGCAUGCAUGUAUAUUUGUAUGCGUGUUUGAAAG